AUAAUAUUCCUCCGUCCAACAAAGGAUGUCUCAACUUUGACUAAAUUUGAAUGCAUUUAUACACUAAGUCAGAUCUAGAUACAUCCAAAUUUUGACAAACUUGAGACAUCUUUUGUUGGACGGAGAGAGUAGAUA
rfam:Brachypodium distachyon strain Bd21 chromosome 4, whole genome shotgun sequence.